AUUGAACGCUGGCGGCAGGCCUCACACAUGCAAGUCGAACGGGAGGGCGGACGGGUGAGUAAUGCUUAGGAUUUGGCCUGGUGGGGGGGGAUAACGUCCGGAAACGGGGGCUAUUACCGCAUUAUAUCAGCUGAGCCUUGGUCGGAUUAGCUAGUUGUGGGGGUAACGGCCUACGAAGGCGACGCUCCGUAACUGGUCGGAGAGGAUGAUCAGUCACACUGGAACUGAGACACGGUCCAGACUCCUACGGGAGGCAGCAGUGGGGAAUAUUGGACAAUGGGCGAAAGCCUGAUCCAGCCAUGCCGCGUGUGUGAAGAAGGUCUUCGGAUUGUAAAGCACUUUAAGUUGGGAGGCGUUACCAACAGAAUAAGCACCGGCUAACUUCGUGCCAGCAGCCGCGGUAAUAC
rnacentral:rRNA from 1 species